GUACAUUUAGCUCAACGGUCAGAGCGUCUGCGUCUAUGCGGGAAGGAUGUUGGUUCGAUUCCUACAGUGUACG
rfam:Puccinia graminis f. sp. tritici CRL 75-36-700-3 supercont2.38 genomic scaffold, whole genome shotgun sequence.